AAUGUUAAUUUAAACUUUUCCAGCCCAAAGCUCGCAGGCUCCUGCAUAGUCCGAAAAUGGCGAAAUAUAUGACGUUUUCCUGGCUUUUUUUGUUUUGUUUGUAUGAUUUUAAUAUUUACCGUGCCAGGAAAACGUCAGAACCGGCACCAUUACGUAAACUGGAAAUUCGCCGCCUCCAGUUAGAGCAUUUUCGGCAUUUUCGGGCCGAUUUAAAUACUUGCGAGACAAAUUCAAUGUAGAACUAAUAACUAAUCAAUAAAACGAUACCUCUUGUACUUACUAAUAUCGAUUUUAUGGGUUAAUUCCUCACAUAAAUAGCCUCAUGAAAACAUUUUAACAAACUGUCGAGCUUUGUUUUGAGUCACGUGACUCGUCGCUCAAAUGACAGCAAAAAUUCGGUUUACUAUAAUUGUGUGCUUGUUAUCGAAUUCUGGAGUGAUAUAUUCUUUUAAUUGAUAUUAGUAAGUACAAGAAGCAUCGUUUUAUUGAUUAGUUAUUAGUUUAACAUUGAAUUCGACUCCAAAGUAUUUAAAAUCGGCUCAAGAAUGCGGCUUUCAACUGGAGGCAACGAAUUUCCAGUUUAUGUAAUGGCGCCAGUUCUGACGUUUUCCUGACACGGUACAUAUCAAAUUCAUGAAAAAAAAAAAAAGCUAGGAAAACGUCAGAUAUUUCUGACUAGCUCGUGCAUUGCUUGCAUCUUCAAUCUUGUGGGGAAGUUGUGCACUGUAGCCCGAAUAGGGCUGUAAUAGUGAAAUAAGCAUUUCAAUACAAUACAAGCUUAUAUGAACCAAUACUCAAUAUUAUAUAUCUUUCGGCAUGACUGUGUUUGAGGGCAAAGCAAAAAAUAUUGGCAUUAGUAUCUAGAUCUAUAACAGGACAAAAAAUAUCCUGAAAUAUUAGCACCUAAUGUGUGAGGACAGAGCUCAAUCAAAGUAUUCUAGUUUUGGACAUUUUUGAUCCGCCUAUUCAUUGAAUGCGGGAAACUCUACAGGUUGGGAACACUUCCCCUAUAGCAAGAUGUUCUCGCUAAAACACAAUUAUCCCUCUCUAGCGAGAGUAAAUAUAUCCUGUUCAACCGAGAAAAACACCAGUGGAGUACAUCUCGUGUUUCACUUGAAAAGAAGAAAAAGUGCUAAAAUGUCUGAUACUUCUGCAAAUAUAUUAAUCAAAGCAAAAACACGAUGUGUAUUGGAUUUCACACUGCUUCCCUCUUACGCAGCAACUUUGAUAUGCAAUUUCUUGACUAUGUUGUCAAUUUCACAGAAACAAUUUGCAUCAUGUUGAGUGUGUGUCGCAGUUAUUCAGCGUUGCACGGGAUUUGCCAUUAUUUUCAAUAAAGACUUCAAAACACCUGUUUAUGGUAAUGUUUAUUUCUUGCUAAAGAGGGAUAAUUGGGUUUUAGCGAGAAUAUCUCACCAUAGGGGAAGUGUUCCCAACCUGCUCUAUGCAACUGAUGUAAACUGUGCAUUGUGAUGUCUUAUUCAGCGUCGGUGUUUACAAAUGGACAUGGUACAAUCGUGUUAAUUGAGGAGUGAUGAUAUAUGAUUAAGAAAAUAAGGUUUAGUAAUACAUGCUUUUACGGAUUAUAUGUAAAAUCUCAGAACGGCAUGAACUUGGGUACAUGAGAUUCAAAAUGGAGAAAUACAUGUCCACUCGCUAGUAUUCGAAUCGAUGCCAUUGGGACCAAAAUUUUGUUUAUCAAUAAAGUCAAUAUUAAAAUUCACUUGAUUGACCAAACUAUGAGCUAUGCACUAGCCUAGAGAACAUGAAUGAAACACUGUUGAGGAGAAAUCGACCAUUUCACUUUGAACCGAUGCACAAUUAUUUAUACUCUCAGUAAGAUUCGUCAAGGCUGGAUAUAUGGACUGACGCCUCUUCCAAAUCUCAAACCAGUGUCACACAAAGUGAUUUGGGAAAUCUUGCCUGAAUUUAGGCAACUUGUUGCUAUUAAAAUCGGUUAAACUCAAUUUCUUGUCCGCUUCAACUUUUCGCCUUAGACAUUCUAUUAACUCCCUAUCACAAUGAAACAUGCAUUUCUUACCUUUACAUGUAGCUGCAAUAAUUUAGCCCUCUCCAAUUUUUUUUCUUUGGGAGAGGGCUACAACUUAUUAGGAUCUCUGUAAUGGUGCAAAUGCGGAAGUGAUUCACUCCCGCAACAUUUUCUAUCAUUCUAAACAUUUGCUGACUUUCUCUACGUAAAUAAAAUGAUAUUCUGUUUCUUAGUCAAUAUACAGUCAAAACUGCCAUAGCGACCCACUGUAUUAAGCAACUCACUGUCGUAUGUGACCAUAAAAAGUUUCCCCUAAGACGUUGCUCUAUAUAUUGUACCUGUAUUAAAUGACCACCUGUUUGACUCGACCAACGACCAUGAUUUUUACAACCUUUUCGUGUAUUUUAACGACUGUACAUUUUUCGAUUACACCGUGAUUACUAAUUUCGAUUUUGGUUGAGCCGGCUAUUCUGGGAAUUAUCGCCCCUAAUACUUUUGCAUAGUUUGGCGGUGAUCUUGUUUAGAAGGUCCUCUAAAUUAAAGUGACUGGUUCACGUUUUUCGAAAGAAAUAUUUUUCAUUUGUGAUGUUAAAAAUUAAAAAUAUCGCUCAUUUAAUGUUGACAACCAAAAUUUGGACCGUCUGAAUGUAAGGAUAAGAGCAAUAUUUUAGCUUUGAUUCUGUGUUAUGUAAACAAAAACUCCAGUCUUUUUAUGUAAACAAACAAACCAGUGAAACAUAAAUUUUGUAAUUCAAAGCAUCUUCAUUUUGUAUGAUUACAAAUUUCAACUUUUGAAUGACACAUUUUACCUAAAGCAUACUUGAAAUGUGAUAUAUAUAAUAAACUUGGAUCAGUAUCCAUUUAUUUUGAAAACUCGUAAACAAUAACACACCUCAAUCUUUGUUUUCAAAACAAAUAAUAAACUCUCUAUAAUAAGCUUCCGUCAUGAUGAAUAACCUUAAUUUUUUGUGAAACCUUCUAAAACAUAUUAGACUAUAGAUUUUGAUUACUUAAAGUGAAAUACAAAAUUUGGAGGAAAAUUGUGAAUCAGUCCCUUUAAUUAUUAUACCCAAUCUAUCAACAUGCAGGGUCAUGUGUGGUUAAUUAAUAAAACCCAAGUUGUUGUUUAUUUAACAAAAUCAAGGAUCAGGGAAUCAAGGCUGGUGUAUUUGAAGGUGUGAAUUUCGACAAACUUUAAGAAGUGCUGGGUAUGUUAGAUCAGAAAUGAAAAUCUACCACUUGUUAUACCAUUAUGUGGAAAAUUUGCCCGAUUGGCAUUGUGAUAUAAAUCAGGUAAUUAUUUUGCUUAGGACUGAAAUUUUAAAUGAAGUAUUUGCAGUUUUCUUGCAUGAGAUACUCCAGGUUUCCAGAAAAUGACCGGAACAAGCGGUAAAUAAAAUAUUUAGGUUGUUUAGAAAGUACCAUCAACGUUUUUAAAUUCCAGACAAGCUUUCUCGUAGCUUCAGACGUUUGGUUUGAGAGAAGAAGAAUAAACAUUGCAGCUAAUAUGACGUCACAAUGUAACUGUUUACAUCCACCGCGUUAUAUUUCCCGCGUUAAAUGAAGAGGCCGAUAAAAUGUCUAUAAGUCGUGUUGCAAGAUGAUAAUGGGCUUCGCUCGUCUCAUUGGUCAUACCGUACAACAUAUUACGAUGUUUUAAGUUACUCAUGAUAUCUAUUUUAAUAUGUAUGAUACUUCAUAACACUAGAUUGGAAGUUGUUCCUUAUACUGCAAUCGAACUGAAAGCCAGUGAAAAUUUUGAAGCGCAGUUCAAGCGCUAUUCGAUGCCACUAUUUAAAUGCAGAGAACAUCGACAGUGUACAAAUGAUUGAUUGAUUAUAUAUUGUGUAAAGUCUUUCUUGAGAAUAUUUUACUCGCAUGAAGACGUUACCAUUGCCGGUGAAGGGCUGCAAAAUUUAGGCCUAUGCUCAGCUCUUAUGACCAUUGAGCAGGGAGGGAUCUUUAUCGUGCCACACUUAAAUUGCUGCGACACGUGCUCAGUUUUUGCGGUCUCAUUUUACGACAAAUAAGGGGUACUGAGGACUAUUCUAAAUCGGAGCGACAGUUAACGACAAAUUCACUAAAGGUUUGGUGAUUAUUGUUCGAUGUAUGUGUGUUCUAUUAAGAUUUGAGAAAAUGCUAAAAGCGAUGCAUUGGAGAUUUCAAAACAGGACAUGUCCCUAGCAAUAUGCAUAGAUCUUAAUCUUAAUCGAAAGUUUGUAGAAAUGAAACUAAAUUAAAAUUCUUCAUAAAGACCUCAGGGCUAUUCCAGCAAAAAAAAAAAUAUGGGGGGAGGGAAGGCAUUUUAUUUUUAAGACAGCCACCCAUAUAAUUAAAUUUCCCUCUGCUACCACCAUCCAUACAAUUAGAUUCUUCCCUGCCACCACCCAUACAAAAAGAAUUAAGGAUUCAAAACUGAAACCUUCUGUAUAUUAAGAUUUUCUUUGAAUGUAGGAUUUAGUUUCAACAAGUUGAAAUUAUAUAACUAUAUAUUUACAUUCACUGAAUCUAUUUAAGAAAUAAGGUAUCAUUUAAAAAUAUUUAUCGGGAUAUAAAUACGGGUUGGUCACGUGAUCAAAUUCCAUAAAGCCCAAAGGGCUUUAUGGAAAAUUUGAUCAUGUACCAACCCGUAUUUAUAUCCCGAUAAAUAUUUUAAAAUGAUACCUUAUUACUUAUAUUUACAUUUUUGGUCGGUAACAUUGCUGAAUUGUGUUAACAACACGUUUCCAUACAUUUCAAAUUGUUGACGUCCACAACGAAGCGUCAUAGAUGUUCAAAAUGACGACAACACAAAACAAAGUUCUAUAAAAUGAAGAAUUGUUUUAAUCAUUAAGACGCUAGAAAGCAAGUAUAUCAACAUAUACUUAUACAUUAACUUGGGAGUAUAUAAUGGAAAACUCUUCCAUGUGUCUAAUUUUAGGGGGUGGGGGAAUUAUGAUUUAAACGGGGAUGCGCAGUGUUACACUUAGAGUUGUGAUGCGCUUUGACUUUUGAAAAGUGAAGACGUUGAAGACCGACUUUGAAAGAUAUUCUGUGGAUAUUACGGAGUUAACAGAAGACUGAGAUGGAGGAACAUGAAGAACAGGGCGGCAGUCGUCAGGUGUAGGCAAAUUAUUUAUAGACAGGACAGCUCAACAGAGGACGCAGCUCAGAUGAAUCUCCGGAAAGAACUGAACAUCGCAGAGAAUGUGGAACUGCACGAAGGUUUUUAACGACGCCUCGCUUCGAUGUCCCGACAUAAACUUGGAAACCGACAUCAAGCACUACUAUGGCUGCUGUGGCACGGAAGCAGUCAAUCUCUAUCCAGAGUUAUCGUUCCCGCUACGCUCCACUAAUACCUCUGUCAACGUCUAAAAAGUUAUAUCAAAAUGCACAAAAACUAACUUAGCAUAUCGAACUGUAAUGAUAAUAUCUGAGCAAAUCAAACACUUCUCUGAAUUUUUUAAAAUCAGAAGAUGGUAAAUAUGAGACACCUGAGCGAAUUAGAAGGUUUAUAUAAAUAUUCAUUCAUUCAAUAAUACUAGUAUAAUCAUGGAAUUCGUUGUUUUUGUGAACCUACUUUAAGAUUUAAAGCAUAAAACUUAAACUUAUAAAAUUAUUUUCCAUGAUGCUAUAGGUAUAGGUAAGUUUUGCCAAGAAUCUUGACAUUUAGACGUUGACAGAGGUGAUGUAGCGCAGCGUAAUACGCCCUCUGGUGAGAGAUUGGGAAGCAGUGUGGUGUGUAGGUCUUAAUGCACUUUGACGACUUAUCGGCCAUACAUCCUGUGAACGACCUUUUUGCUAAAGCCUAAUGCCAUCGUCUAGCAGUAGGUACAAUUCCGCAUCACCGAUGACCAAGGUGAAGUAGCAGACGAAAUUUUAGACAUACAUUAGGCCUAGUAGGCUAGUAACUAAAGACAUUGUUUACAGUUAUGCUUUUAUCAAUUAUUGAUGAAAGUCCACUGCUUGGAAUACAAAUAAAACCGUAAAUACAU